AUACAGGGGGUGCGAGCGUUAAUCGGAAUUACUGGGCGUAAAGAGUACGUAGGCGGUUGCUUAAGUCAGAUGUGAAAGCCCCGGGCUCAACCUGGGAACUGCAUUUGAAACUGAGUGACUAGAGUUUAAGAGAGGGGAGUAGAAUUCCGGGUGUAGCGGUGAAAUGCGUAGAGAUCCGGAGGAAUACCAGUGGCGAAGGCGGCUCCCUGGCUUAAAACUGACGCUGAGGUACGAAAGCGUGGGUAGCAAACAGGAUUAGAUACCCCAGUAGUCC
rnacentral:rRNA from 1 species